rnacentral:lncRNA from 1 species
UUGUAAGGUGACAAUACUUUGAGCAAUGUUAUCCAGGCUUUCCAUAAAAUCCUUGGACAAGCGUUGGUAAUAGGAUAGGGAAGUUGCAAUCCCGCUAACUCCCAUUCCUACCCCUGCUGUUAUUCCUAGCCGUUGUGUCUGGUGGUUGCAGUUAAAGGUAUAAUGAGGGAUUGGUUGUUGGGAGCUAUAUUAAUUUAGGGACAUACAAUAUUUCUGUCUCCAGUCUACCACUUCCACCAAAGACAAAUCACAGCAGAACCGACCUAACUUCAAAAUAAACUUCAGUCCCGUAUACUGGGCCUGAUUACCCACACAAAGUGCAACAAGAAUCAUUGUCCAUAUAGACUCUCCUAGAUUGGCUUUGCUAGAACAUUUCACAAGGCCAUUUCAGUCAAAGUCCUGAGAAAGUAACCGGUUUCAAUUGUGCCCUAUUACAAAAGAAAACGUGGUUAUUAACUUUAUACAGACAAAUGCCAUGAAUUAAGAAUAUUCAUAAAUAGUUUACAAAUUCUGGAGAAAUUAGAAUACUCAAUACACUUAAAGUGUAUUUCAAGGCUAUAAAUAGCUCAAAAUAAAAAGAUUAUUCAGACUCUGAAAAAACAAAAAGAAGUAGCAAUAUUUCAAACAACAAAAGCCAUACAAAUUAUUUCAGUCUUCCAUUAGUUCAUUUCAGUCCAUGUAAUCAACUCCUGCUCUACUUCAUAUUCAUCUUUAUGAACACAUCAGCCUUUCAAUUAGUGCCUUGGAAGUUUUCUGUCUAAUCCAAUGGCACACUCUCCAAAGUUACCAGAAACCUGCAUUCAAGAGUUCUUUUCAUGAACUCCAAAGAAGUAAGCCUUGGACUGUAGCUGAUUAUAAGUCACUUUUUUUUUUUGAGAAGGAUCACAGCAAAACAUCAAUUAUGGAUGACAAAAGUCUUAAGACAGCCAUAAAGACACAGUUGACAAAUGUGGCUAUUUCUGUGGCUUACAACAAUUUAACAUAAUCAUUACAACAUAUAUUAAGACAUAUCAGAAUUUUAGAACUCUCAUACAAUCCUGGAACACAUAUUAACAACAAAUCUCUAUCAGUAUAACCCAAAGGAAGCUAAACACCA